UCUAACAGCUGCGCCGUCAGCCGCGGGGACGGCUCCCGGCGGGGGGUCCCUCCCUGGUAGCGGAAGAGGCGGCGCGGCAGGGGCGAGCUAGGGGAGGGGCCAGCUGCUGCCUCGCCGUGGAGAUCGACGCUUGUGCUGGGAGCUUUCCUCGCCAAUUCGCCGGGAGCUCGACGCCAUCGCGUUGCUCAUGUAGCCGUCUCUGCACUUCAAUUUGCAUCUGAAGGGCUUCACCUAUGUGCACAGAUCUGAUAAAAAAAACAAAGAUGGUUUCUCUGUUGCUGUGGUGCAAACUAGCGCUGACGAAUGAAAAGGAAGUUCAAUAUUAAGCUUAAUGGCACGCACGCACGCGAUCCCGGAAGAAGGAAUAAGGGAAAGCGAUGCUGACAGAGAAUCGCGACGCUGAUCAUUUUUCUCCUUGGUAAAGAUGAGGAGGAAUAUAUAUCACCUCUUGAGAAGUUGAGAGUUGAGUGCGUGGCUAUUUUGUUGUCCGCGCCGGCCUCCUUGUUUCUCGGCGCCGGCGGUGUUUUGCAAAUGAACAGCACGUGUGAACUGUUGUUUGUAGGUGGGUAGGUUGGCUCCCUGAACUUAGGCUUAGGUUGUUUUAGUUUAGGAUUAUUGGGCCAACUUAUUAUAAUCUACAAACUAGAUUAUUAUAAUCUUAUAAGCUCCUCUAAUAAUGCUUUUCCAUAUUAUUGAGUGGUUAAAGACUCAUUACCCUCAGACACUUUAAAUUAAUUACU